AUGUCAUGGUUCGUGAGGGUAACCCUAAGUGCCCUAACUGUCACAAGAGUGAUGUUCUGCUUGAUGCGCUCCCUAGGGAUCUACUGAAGCCUCAAGAAAAUAAGGACUCAUAAAGAAGCGUAACCUCAACAAGGCACAAGAAGCUCUGGUAUGCCAUGGUCUGGGGAUGAAGGUCAGCAGAGAUGGGAACAAGCAUGGAUUGCUAUAAAGAAGGUUUGGGCUUCAAAAUGGAACAAGAGAGCGUACUUUAGUACAAGAAAAGUGAAGCUAGAUCAUGACCUCUUAUGUAUGGCUGUCCUGGUUCAGGAAAUAAUAAAUGCUGACUAUGCAUUUGUUAUUCAUACCACAAAUCCAUCUUCAGGAGAUCCAUCAGAGAUAUACGCCGAGGUUGUAAAGGGACUUGGGGAGACUUUGUUCGGAGCUUAUCCAGGUCGGGCUUUAAGUUUAAUUGCCAAGAAAGACAAGCUUGACUCUCCUAAGGUUUUGGGUUACCCAAGCAAACCCAUUGGCCUUUUCAUAAGAAGAUCCAUUAUUUUCCGAUCUGCAUCCAAUGGUGAAGAUCUUGAAGGCUAUGAUUGUGCAUAACUUUAUGAUAGGUAAAACUUCCAUGAGAAUUUUGAAACCAUAGUUAAUUCCAUUAUAUCGUUCCUCCGAGGGAUGUUGCAAUAGUGGAUGCAAUUCGAUCUAAAGUGGCAAGAGGCAAGAGGCGAUCUACGAAGGGCGACGGUGCCGUGCUAAACAAGAUAAUGGCAGCAAUGCUUGGCUAUGUCGGUACGACGACCACAUCCGGUGGUGAACAGUGGCUACUUCGCUGCUGUGAAAGGUGAAAUAAAUCUCCCCAUAAAGUGCAGCGAAUGAGAUCACGUCGUCUUAUGUUCCGGGGUGGUUUCGAGAGCAAAUCACGGGGCAUCUCGCAACAGCGAUUCGGGUUGUUUGUGGCUAAGUGGGAGUUGCUCGAGGGCUGCAAAUGACACCGGGUAAUGGGGGUGAUGGCUGCUAGAACAUAAUGGAAAACGAGACAUCCACGUCAUGUGAUUUGGGUUCGGUUUCGGGGUUGAAUCAUGGUGUACGUACAAAGUUUGAGUUCGAACGUUAUAGGGCUGAUUUGGAAAAAAA